AUUUUUCGUCUUAAAUUUGUAUAAUUUUGAAUUAAUUCGUUUAUUUUCUCUAAUUUUAAUUCAUGCAACAUAUUCAAAUAAUAUACACGUUUACGUGCAUGAACACAUGGAUACACUUUAGUUUGCCACCUCCUUGUAGAUUGCCCUAGUGUCGCUAUAAGUUGUCAAACGCGCCCAUGGGAGUCGACCCAGCCUGGGACCGAUAGGUUAACGGAACGUAGCCAGCACGCACCGCAGCAGUGCGAAAGAUCGCACGCGAUUGGUUAGCGGUCUGUGUGUGUGCACGGACAGAUCGUGCGUGAGCCGUUUCCAGCAUACUGCACACGUCUUUUCUUGUGCAAACGCCUUGACGGUUGAUUGACUGUCAACCUACUGCUUUGCAAACAUCGCCAAUUGUUCGACAUCGCUCUGGUUGUACUGCCGGAACCUCUUCGAAGAGGAAUCGAGCAGCUUCAACUCAAUGGCCCUUUCAGGAACACACUGCCGCCCAUACGGGCAACCAUCCGGUCACCCGCUCUGCGCUACGGUCAGGCGACCUACGAUCUACAAGUGGGAUGAUGCGUAUGAAGCCUAAGUAUCCUGAAUUGGAUGCCGUCUAUGAUAAAUUUGACAAGGCUCUUUCGUAUGAGAUAGCGCAAAGGUGUGUCCAGACAAUGCUACUGGCAAAGUAUUGAAUUAUUUGACGUCUGCAGAAGGCCAAUGCGACGACUGUUACGAAAAGGCCCCUCCAAACGAGAAUGCUGUGGUUUUUGGUGAAAUGCGUUUGACCUCAGAUUCCCACUCCAGUUUUACCGUGCACGAUGCGAAAAAAUGCUGCAAGAAUGUUAUUAAUAAAUUCGAAAAAAAGGCAAAAUCACAACUGGCCGUUUCUAAGGCAUGCGUUGAACAUUGUGUAAAACAAGGUCAUUGCGACGAUAUCAAACCUGAACUCUAAAAUUCUACCUGAAGGUGGAAUGACUGCAGCAUAAAAUUGCGAAUUUAUUUUAAUGUUUUGCAUUUGCAUGCCUACAAUUCUACC